CGGGACGUGGCGCAGUCUGGUAGCGCGCUUGUUUUGGGUACAAGAUGUCGCAGGUUCAAAUCCUGUCGUCCCGACCA
rnacentral:tRNA from 1 species